rnacentral:lncRNA from 1 species
GGGGAAAGUCCAAAAGAUUGAAACACAAACAAGGCCUUGUUGAUUAACUUUUGUAGAAGGAGGCAUUGAAUAUAUCAUACUCUAGACUCUAGGCAAAGGUCUAGCAACCCGGCUGCUACAUUCUUUUCAAGGCUCUCUAGUUCUGACUUUCUGCUACGACAUUUAAUAGCUGGCUGUUGAUCUUUUUUGAUUGAAUUUUGAUUUUUGUCACGCCAAACUUUCGGUACAUCCAAUAAAAUGCCGCACUUAAAUGUUGUCUUUGUCAUUUUUGAGCAAGUGGAAUGCCUGAUGUAAAAGGUUUACGGCGUUACAGGCUUACAGCUGCUAACAAGAAUCACUUCUUUUCAGGUAAAUAAAGAGAAAAACGAUGUCGCAUAUCACAUGAAGUGUCGACACAUCAGCCUGAUCUUUUUGUCUACUUGUGGAUAGAUUCUCCUUCAUCCGCAUUGCCGGUUCUCCCUUUUCCUAUUGUCUGCGACUCCGCUUCGAGAGAAGGAUUUGUGCGCGGGGCUACCCACCAUUUCUUGAGAUGAUGAGAUAAUUCAUAAGAUAUGUGGUAAAAUUAAUUAAAUUUAGCAUUAAUAUAUAUAUAUAUGAUAAAUUCUCUUAAAGAAUCCGUU